GAGAGACGCCAUGAAUAAUGUCCCCUUUCCUUUCCUUUGAAUCCUCAUCACCAGUCGCACCAGUCGCACCAUUCCCUGCCCAGAGCCGUUGCGCGCCGCCUUUCCACCUCCGUCGCUGCCUCUACACCUCUCACCUGUCCCUCCGCCGCUCGGGGCUUUUCUCAUUGCCCGUGGUGCUCCUGCUCCUGUUGCUGCUACUGUCGCUUCAGUCGAUGCUGCGCUUCUCUGUGGGCGCUGCAAGUCUGUUUGUUGUGCGUAUGGGCCACCUUUUCUGAGGUUUUUUUGGGAUGACCUCGCGAUCAGAACCCUCAUUAGAUGGAUCCUGGUAGCGCAACCUCCUUCAUGGACAUCCACUAUCAGAAGCAGUACAGUGUAGUUCAUGAAACAGUUGAGCAGUUCAAGGUUGUGGGCUCAUACGCUACAGAGGAGGAGGCAUUAACCGCUGCGCUGGACUGCCAGAUCGACGUCUUCAAAGCUACUAAAGAUCAAGUUCUAGUCCAAGUGAGACAAUGGUUACCUGAGAAGCCUUUGGCAUGGCAACUUCGAAUGCUCCAAGAUGCAAUGGAAUCGUAUUUCCUUGAUGUAGGGUUUGAAUCUUUGUCGGACUACUUCACGGUCACGGAUCAGCCUAUCACGGACGUUGCUCCGAAGAAGAGGAAGAUGGCGACCACGCCAAGAGGCGAGUCGAAGCUGGCGAAGUCUAAUACCAGAUGUGGCAUCGCAAGUACUUCCGCAUUGAAAACCAUGUCUAGAUAUAUGUACCAGACCUCGCCAUUCGGUAUGUCCUAAGAGUAUAAUCUAAGUUUGUUCUCAUAUUUUCUAGUUGAGGGCGUGGGUCCACCAGACGUCGAGGCAAUGUGAAUCUAGAUCUGGUCCAUUCUUCUCGUGAAGAAGUUUUCUGGACAUGGAAGGCAAGUAAUCCUGGAUCCUGCCCAAGUCGACGAUAGAGACAGUUGCAGAGUAGCUGUGUUUCUUUUAUUUUGUUUGAGAUUCAGACCUCCGAGAACGUGUAUCUGAUCCAGCUUAUCGACAACACAUGAGGUGCCGUGUAGUGCGCUCUAAAUUUUGUAGAAGUUACGGAAUUAUCUCCAGAUUAAUGUGAUUAAUCUUACUUCCACCCGGUUUUACUCUC